rnacentral:tRNA from 1 species
CAAAGCGUAGCUUAACUAAAGCAUUUUGCUUACACCAAAAAUAUGUUUGUUAAACCCAAACCACUUUGA